AGCACUGUUAGAAAGAAACUAUAUGUAAAUAUACAAAACUGUUCUGAGUCUCAGCUGUUGCAUCAACUACUGUGUCAUCAUCUGUUGCGUCAUCAGUAAGGCAAAUAACAGAAACUAGUCAAAGAUACGCCGAUAAAAUAAACAAUUUCAGCCAGCCUUUGUAACCAAUAGUCGUAGUUAUACUGAUACACUUUAUUGGCUUCAAAUCUCGUACGUCUUCAAAAUCGUUCAACUACAAACUAUUUCAGCAUUCUCAAAGCAUGUUUUGUGGCUUUGAUACCAGAUCAAAGAACGCACCACCGUUACCUGUGCAGUGAGUAACUGAUUGAUGGACUAGAAUGAUGUGGCACAACAAUGGUUUACUUAAUGGCAAGCUAAACGAUUGCAGUUUCUAAUUGCAACUUCUCACCUCAACUUACCUGCCUGUUUCUUCUUCCCAGGGAGUUUCGCCAAAAUAUUUCCCCAAGGGGGCAACAGCAGCAGUAAACACUUCAGGAAUGUACCAACCAGAAAAACCAGACCUCGUUGCCUCCUGCCUGAUCCCUGACUGUACCUUUGCCCUUAACCGUGCUCCUGGAUAUCGACCUCCCGCCUGUCUUUUGGAUACGACUAAGCCUAACCCCUGUAUACCUGUUCUUCAUUAAAUCUGCGCUCUGCGCUUGGGUUGA